rnacentral:rRNA from 1 species
GACGAACGCUGGCGGCGUGCCUAAUACAUGCAAGUAGAACGCAGUUGCGAACGGUUGAGUAACGCGUAGGUCACUGCCUGGUAGCGGGGGAUAACUAUUGGAAACGAUAGCUAAUACCGCAUACUACCAGAUGGACCUGCGUUGGAUUAGCUAGUUGGUGAGGGAAAGGCUCACCAAGGCAACGAUACAUAGCCGCCCUGGGAAGGGGAGCGGGCACACUGGGACUGAGGAAGAGCCCAGACUCCCACGGGAGGCAGCAGUAGGGAAUCUUCGGCAAUGGGGGGAACCCUGACCGAGCAACGCCGCGUGAGUGAAGAAGGUUUUCGGAUCGUAAAGCGCUGUUGUUAAGGAAGCGGUACUUGACCAGAAAGGGACGGCUAACUACGUGCCAGCAGCCGCGGUAAUAC